rnacentral:rRNA from 1 species
AGUCCACAUCGACGGGGAGGUUUGGCACCUCGAUGUCGGCUCAUCACAUCCUGGGGCUGUAGUAGGUCCCAAGGGUUGGGCUGUUCGCCCAUUAAAGUGGUACGCGAGCUGGGUUCAGAACGUCGUGAGACAGUUCGGUCCCUAUCCGUCGCAGGCGUAGGAAAUUUGAGAAGACCUGUCCUUAGUACGAGAGGACCGGGAUGGACGUACCUCUGGUGUACCAGUUGUCCUGCCAAGGGCAUGGCUGGGUAGCUAUGUACGGAAUGGAUAAGCGCUGAAAGCAUCUAAGCGCGAAGUCAACUUCAAGAUAAGAUUUCCCACCGCAAGGGUAAGACCCCAGAAAGACUAACUGGUUGAUAGGUCGAAGGUGUAAGUGCAGCAAUGUAUUUAGCUUAUCGAUACUAAUAGGUCGAGGACUUGACCAAU